rnacentral:rRNA from 1 species
UACGGGAGGCAGCAGUGGGGAAUAUUGCACAAUGGGCGAAAGCCUGAUGCAGCUAUGCCGCGUGUAUGAAGAAGGCCUUAGGGUUGUAAAGUACUUUCAUCGGGGAGGAAAAAACAAAACUAAUAAUUUUAUUUCUUGACGUUACCCGAAAAAGAAGCACCGGCUAACUCCGUGCCAGCAGCCGCGGUAAUACGGAGGGUGCUAGCGUUAAUCAGAAUUACUGGGCGUAAAGAGCACGUAGGUGGUUUUUUUAAGUCAGAUGUGAAAUCCCUGGGCUUAACCUAGGAACUGCAUUUUGAAACUGAAAUACUAGAGUAUCGUAGAGGGAGGUAGAAUUCUAGGUGUAGCGGUGAAAUGCGUAGAUAUCUGGAGGAGUACCUGUGGCGAAAGCGGCCUCCUAAACGAAUACUGACACUGAGGUGCGAAAGCGUGGGGAGCAAACAGGGAUUAGAUACC